GAUGAACGCUGGCGGCGUGCCUAAUACAUGCAAGUCGAGCGAACAGACGAGGAGCUUGCUCCUCUGACGUUUGCGGCGCACGGGUGAGUCACACGUGGAAAACCUCCCUAUAAGACUGGGAUAACUUCGAGACACCGGCGAUAAUACCGGAUGAUAUAUUGCAGCGCAUGGUGCAAUGGUGAGAUACGGCUUUGCUGUCACUUAUCGCUGGAUCUGGGCGGCAUUAGCUGGUUGGUAAGGUCAUGGCUUACCAAGGCGACGAGGCGUAGCCGAGCUGAGGGGGGGGUAGGCCACAUGGGAAGGGGAACAGGGUCCAGACUCCUACGGGAGGCAGCAGUAGGGAAUGUGCCGCAGUGGGCGGAAGCCUGACAGAGCAACGCGGCGUGAGUUAUGGAGGUCUUGGGAUCGUAAAGCUCUGUUAUGAGUGAAGAACAGAUGUGGAAUUAACUGUGGACGUCUUGACGGUAACUAAUCAGAAAGCCACGGCUAACUACGUG
rnacentral:rRNA from 1 species